GGCGCUGUGGCUUAGCGGUUUAAAGCCUGUCUAGUAAACAGGAGAUCCCCGGUUCAAAUCCGGGGGCAGUGCCU
rnacentral:tRNA from 1 species